rnacentral:misc_RNA from 1 species
AACGAGGCCGACCUGCGGCUGAGUUACCUGCGGAGGGAUCAUUAUCGAGUGUUUAAACCCUUUUUUUAUAAGAGGGUUACCUCCCGUCCUUUGCUGAAGGCCCCCCUAAAACUUUUAGGGGGGCCUUUUUCAAAAACUUUCAUGCUUCGGCGUGGUACCCGCCGGAUCACCCUCAAAAAUUCUUAUAAAAUUGUUCAGUCCGAGAAAAAAUUAAAAAAGCAAUAAAACUUUUAACAAUGG